rnacentral:rRNA from 1 species
UACGGGGGGGGCAAGCGUUGUUCGGAAUUACUGGGCGUAAAGGGCUCGUAGGCGGCCAACUAAGUCAGACGUGAAAUCCCCAGGCUCAACCUGGGAACUGCGUCUGAUACUGGAUGGCUUGAAUUCGGGAGAGGGAUGCAGAAUUCCAGGUGUAGCGGUGAAAUGCGUAGAUAUCUGGAGGAAUACCGGUGGCGAAGGCGGCAUCCUGGACCGACAUUGACGCUGAUGAGCGAAAGCGAGGGGAGCAAACGGG